UAAAAAGGGGAGCUAAAUUUAGAAGUGAAAACAGAACUGCUAAAUCUGGCUGAGAGGAAGCUUGGCUUCGACCCUCUGAACCUGAUAUGGAUAAUUCCAGCGAAGGGAGCA
rnacentral:ncRNA from 1 species